UAAACGGCGGCCGUAACUAUAACGGUCCUAAGGUAGCGAAAUUCCUUGUCGGGUAAGUUCCGACCUGCACGAAUGGCGUAAUGAUGGCCACGCUGUCUCCACCCGAGACUCAGUGAAAUUGAAAUCGCUGUGAAGAUGCAGUGUACCCGCGGCUAGACGGAAAGACCCCGUGAACCUUUACUACAGCUUGGCACUGAACAUUGAACCUACAUGUGUAGGAUAGGUGGGAGGCUAUGAAGACGUGACGCCAGUUGCGUUGGAGCCGUCCUUGAAAUACCACCCUUGUAUGUUUGAUGUUCUAACUUAGACCCAUUAUCUGGGUUGAGGACAGUGCCUGGUGGGUAGUUUGACUGGGGCGGUCUCCUCCCAAAGAGUAACGGAGGAGCACGAAGGUGGGCUAAUCACGGUUGGACAUCGUGAGGUUAGUGCAAUGGCAUAAGCCCGCUUAA
rnacentral:rRNA from 1 species